rnacentral:lncRNA from 1 species
GCACAGAAUCAAUAUUUAAUAGGGUUGCUUUGGAACUAGCUAAUCUGGUCCAGAAUAGAGAUUUUGAUGUGGCACUCACAUACUGGCUUGGAUGGAGCUGAAACUUGGAGGAUAUGAAUAUUUUAGGGUUAUGAAGAUGUUGUAUAAAUUUCAUGCGAUCUUGAUAAGCCAAAGUGGCACUUCCUUCACACAGCAUCCUGUUGGACAGAAUCUUAGAAGAAUUACUGGG